UACGUAGGGGGCUAGCGUUGUCCGGAAUCAUUGGGCGUAAAGCGCGUGUAGGCGGUUCGGUAAGUCCGCUGUGAAAGUCGGGGGCUCAACCCUCGAAUGCCGGUGGAUACUGUCGGACUAGAGUACGGAAGAGGCGAGUGGAAUUCCUGGUGUAGCGGUGAAAUGCGCAGAUAUCAGGAGGAACACCAAUUGCGAAGGCAGCUCGCUGGGACGUUACUGACGCUGAGACGCGAAAGCAUGGGGAGCAAACAGG
rnacentral:rRNA from 1 species